GUGGAGCUGGAGCUGGUCAGGAGGUAGCGAUGGCUGCCGGAUCUGGCUGGAAGGAUGCAGUGGCCUUCUUUUUCGACUCCGCGGGUUUAGGGAUAAGUGGAGCUGACCCAGAAGGUAGGCAGCGGUUCCUUCUUCGAAUCCGUGGGUUUAGCAGGUAAAGAAAGAAGAGCAAGAAAUCUUCUUGGUGCUGUAGUCAGGAAGCGCGAACCAGACGUCCCGUCGUAUGUAGUCCGCUUAUAUCUGUAGUACACCUUUUCGGUCCUUGUAAUAUUCGGUAGUACUCGAUGUUGUAAAAUCCAUUUUGGUAAUGCUCCAGGCUUUGGAAGUUGUAGCAAUUUGGUAAAUGUGCACGUGGGUGAUGGUUGCUCCUAGCUCGAGUUUCUUUGUGUUAGACUUGUCAGCAAGGUUGGA